AAAAGGGAAGCGCUUGUGACCAGACUUGCGUCCGGUGAAUCACCCAGCUCUCGCGGCUGGGGCACUUCGCCGGCACAGGCCAGCAUCAGCUUGCCGUCGGGGACAAAAGCUUCAGGAACGUGGCUCCUCUCGGGGAGUGUUAUAGCCUGUUGCANAAUACCCUUCGGCGGGCUGAGGUACGCGCUCCGCAAGGAUGCUGGCGUAAU
rnacentral:rRNA from 1 species